AUUUUGGCUGUAGUGUUUCCAAGCACGGGGAAGAGCGCGUUCUUUUGUAUUUUUCUCCGGUAAAGACAAUAACGAUUCUCUGUCUUAAAUUGUAUUGUUUAUUUACGUAUUAGGGUACCUAAGGUUUGAUUAUAAAUGUUGUUUGACUUAUUUGGAAAAGUUUAUUAGUAACGUUUGGGAUUCAUUUUGUAUCCAUUUUGAUGGAGGGAAACUGGGUGGAUAUUUGACUGAAGCGCGCCAGUUAAACUGAGUUUUUAUGGAUAUAAAGGACAUUAUCGAACAAAAGGACCAUUUGUGAUGUAACAGGGACCUUUUGGAGUGCCAACAGAAGAUCAUCAAAGGUACAGGCAGGGAUAACUGGGACCUUCAGGAGCCAGUCGGAGCGUGCCAAUCAGGACCUGGAGACGACUCUUCGGUGCCUCGUCUCAGCCAGCCCCACCACCUGGAGCCAGCAACUCCUGAGGCAGAGGCAGCAUUCCUGGCACUCAAGCGUCGCUUCACCUCUGCUCUGGUCCUUACCCAGCCCGACCCAGAACUCCA
ensembl:lncRNA